GGAAAGGCGCGCGAUACAGGGUGACAGCCCCGUACACAAAAAUGCACAUGCUGUGAGCUCGAUGAGUAGGGCGGGACACGUGGUAUCCUGUCUGAAUAUGGGGGGACCAUCCUCCAAGGCUAAAUACUCCUGACUGACCGAUAGUGAACCAGUACCGUGAGGGAAAGGCGAAAAGAACCCCGGCGAGGGGAGUGAAAAAGAACCUGAAACCGUGUACGUACAAGCAGUGGGAGCCUCUUUUAUGGGGUGACUGCGUACCUUUUGUAUAAUGGGUCAGCGACUUAUAUUCUGUAGCAAGGUUAACCGAAUAGGGGAGCCGAAGGGAAACCGAGUCUUAACUGGGCGUUAAGUUGCAGGGUAUAGACCCGAAACCCGGUGAUCUAGCCAUGGGCAGGUUGAAGGUUGGGUAACACUAACUGGAGGACCGAACCGACUAAUGUUGAAAAAUUAGCGGAUGACUUGUGGCUGGGGGUGAAAGGCCAAUCAAACCGGGAGAUAGCUGGUUCUCCCCGAAAGCUAUUUAGGUAGCGCCUCGUGAAUUCAUCUCCGGGGGUAGAGCACUGUUUCGGCAAGGGGGUCAUCCCGACUUACCAACCCGAUGCAAACUGCGAAUACCGGAGAAUGUUAUCACGGGAGACACACGGCGGGUGCUAACGUCCGUCGUGAAGAGGGAAACAACCCAGACCGCCAGCUAAGGUCCCAAAGUCAUGGUUAAGUGGGAAACGAUGUGGGAAGGCCCAGACAGCCAGGAUGUUGGCUUAGAAGCAGCCAUCAUUUAAAGAAAGCGUAAUAGCUCACUGGUCGAGUCGGCCUGCGCGGAAGAUGUAACGGGGCUAAACCAUGCACCGAAGCUGCGGCAGCGACACUAUGUGUUGUUGGGUA
rnacentral:rRNA from 1 species